rnacentral:tRNA from 1 species
UGACCCGUAGCUCAAGGGUAGAGCUCCCGGCUGUUAACCGGGCGGUUGCAGGUUCGAUCCCUGCCGGGUCAGCCA